ACUAUAACGGUAUUGGUAGGUUUGGUUAUUUUAGGAAGGAUUUACAGCACAAACGGAGCACAAACGAAGCCCCGGGUUUGAACCCAAAAUGAUAAAUGGGAGGUGCCGAGGCCAUGGACCUGUGUAAUUGGUAUACAAUUUAAUUUAAUUAAUUUGAUUACACGUAUAACGUGUAUAUAAUUUUUAUUCAGAUGUGAAGUAAAUAAAUACGUAUAGCGCUUACCUACUUUUGUAGGUACAUUUACAGAAAAAAAUGAAAAAAAUUGUAGGUUCAUAAUUAUUAGCCAUGUAAAUGUACAUAAAUUAUAAUUACAAAUUUAUCUCAUAAUACAUUUCAUCAUAAAUUUGGCAUUUGUUCCCGUAUUAUUCCAAUUUUUUUUUUUAAAUGAGUCAAGUGAUACUAGUCAAUUUUAUAGUGCAAACAUUUUACAAUGUGUAUCCAACAUUAUGUUUACAUUAUUCAAUAUUUUGUAUAAUAAAUAAAAAAGAAAUUUGCAUUACUCAUCAUUUGAUCUUUAUAGCAGUUUAUAUACGGUGCAAUCCAAACGGCUUCCAUCCAUUGUUUGUUUUUUCCCAAACGGCUCCCGUCGAAAAACACUGCACAAGUAGGUAAAUUCCCAAACUAUUCGGAACUACACUUACAUUUCUCGUAACAAAAUAAGUAGAUACAGAUGCGACGCAGAAUACAUUCAUGUCAUAUAUUACUUUUUACGAUAACAAGUUCUAUUAAAUCUAUUAAAAUUAUCGGGAUUUGGAUUUUACGUUUCAAACAUUAUAUGCCUAUAUGGAUUGUUGUUAAACGAAUUUUAUCUAGUUUAUCGAAUUUUGUUUAUAAAAUUUAACCGGAUAUUCAAUAUGGACAUGGCACAUUUUGUGUAUCUGUGAAUUUGUAAUGUAAAAAACCGGAGUCGUUUGGGAAUUUACCUUUUUGUAAAACGGGAGCCGAAUGGACUACGUCCAUAUUAUAAAGUAUAUUAGGUAUACCUACCCAACAUUCUCAUAAUUGUAUUUAUGUUAAACCUGUUACCAAACCAUAUUGUACAUAGUUACGCAAAAAUAUUAUUAUUAUUAUUACUAUUAUUAUUAUUAUUAUUCCUAUUAUUAUUAUUAUUAUUUAUAUUAUUAUUAUUAUUAAUUAUUAUUACUAUUAUUAUAGUUAAUAUUUUAAUAUAUACCCACUCGUUUUUCUAUUUAGGAUUCUAUAAAUUCGUGUAUGCCCCUAAUUUAAAAAUUAUAAAUAAUUUAACUCUAUGAAUAAGUACCCAUUAACGAUUAACUGAUAAGUGUGCAUUACCUAUGGUAUUAUUUUUGAGUUUUAAUCAUAUAUUUACCAUAGUCCAUACACUCUACACACUACUCUAAACGAACAAAAUGUGUACCUAUCAAUUUUACUUAGAAAUAAGUGAUAAAGACUUCUAUUCAAUAUCUAGUUACGUAGGUAUAGGUUAUUAUAUAUUUAUAUUUUAGAUUAUUAUUAUACUUACAUUAAUUAUAUAAGAAUUACCUACCUAAUUACUUUUGACAGUGUUUUUAUUGACAUGAUUAUUUGUUCUGUAAUGUACCU
rnacentral:lncRNA from 1 species